GGGAGCUUAGUCGAGCUGAGAGGGGGAUGGAGCUCUCAGCUUAUCCAGGUGUAGCCUACACCAGCGGAGAUCGUCAGAGUAAAUCAGCUGUUUGCCAUUCUCAGGGCAAAGCUUAUUCUGUUAAGCUGUUUACAUACACCUUUGAAACCUGACAACUGAGUAUUUCAGAGAUUACACCUGCGAAUGCUUGUGCACUCAUCUUGACUCACCAAAACACUCAGCGGUCCACUGGUGUGAAAGAAAACUUGCUUAACUAAGAUGUACUUGUAAUAAAACAGAGAAGAGAUAAACAGUUAUUCAAAUAAUGAUAUAAGGAGCAAGGAUACCUCUGUGAAUUUUGCUGUAAUAAAUGAAUAAUUGUCUGAGUUGUAGUAAGGUUUACAUAACUUCGUUCUUAAGUUUAAAAAAAAUGCACUGAAUCUUUUACUAGCAAAUGAGCUACUAAUUUUAAAGAGUAGCAAUAUGUAUUAACUAUGUAUUAAAUUAUGUACACUGUACUGAUAAUUCAACACUGGAAGGCUCCUACGCUUUUGACAUUAGCGUUCAUAAGCACAGUUUUUUCUGAUUUUGAAAGCUGAUUCUGCAGUUGCAGAUGCCACGUGGAAAAGGGCUUCUCUAAGCUAAGUCCCUCAUAUAUAUGCCUAAUGCGAUUUAAUGUUAAUAGUGUGCCCGAUAUGAAAAUUUAAUGGUAAAGUACAGUGCCGAAAGCUAAGCAGGACAAGACAUUUAAGUCCUCCAUCAAAAAAUGUACUUUCAUCAAAGACAGUAAGUAGAUGGUAGAAGUAAGGGAAAGUCAAGCAAUCACAAAAAUCAUUAUUAGCCCUUUGGGCACUGGUGUUAUUUUCAUCCAAUUUAAUGGCAAUUACCCCAGUAGUUAGUGAGAUAUCUUAGCUUCCACCAGUUGGCUAGACCAACUGGCACAGCCACGUUCAGAGAAGGCAGUAGGUAACAUAUAAAGCAUAACAAAACUGGAUUGUUUUAAGGCAAUGGACUGCUUUCCAAUAAUGCAGUUCAAUGAAAUAUUGAUCUUGGAAUUAGUUGGCCUGAUGUCAGUUGAUUAAAC
rnacentral:lncRNA from 1 species